rnacentral:rRNA from 1 species
GAAUGCUGACAUAAGUAACGAUAAAGCGGGUGAAAAGCCCGCUCGCCGGAAGACCAAGGGUUCCUGUCCAACGUUAAUCGGGGCAGGGUGAGUCGACCCCUAAGGCGAGGCCGAAAGGCGUAGUCGAUGGGAAACGGGUUAAUAUUCCCGUACUUGGUGUUACUGCGAAGGGGGGACGGAGAAGGCUAUGUUGGCCGGGCGACGGUUGUCCCGGUUUAAGCGUGUAGGUGUGUGUUCCAGGUAAAUCCGGUUCACUUUAACACUGAGGCGUGAUGACGAGGCACUACGGUGCUGAAGCAACAAAUGCCCUGCUUCCAGGAAAAGCCUCUAAGCAUCAGGUAACAUCAAAUCGUACCCCAAACCGACACAGGUGGUCAGGUAGAGAAUACCAAGGCGCUUGAGAGAACUCGGGUGAAGGAACUAGGCAAAAUGGUGCCGUAACUUCGGGAGAAGGCACGCUGACACGUAGGUGAAGUGAUUUACUCAUGGAGCUGAAGUCAGUCGAAGAUACCAGCU